GUGAAGUUCACGCUGUUAAGUUCCACCUCUGCAAGGCGGGAGGCAAGGCUGGCAGACAGUGUGUCCCAAGCGUCCUUCCUACUGGAAGCACGUGUCCCGGCAGCACAGGAUGGAGCAGAGACCAACCCCGUCUCCCUGUGGAGCCUAUCAGAAUCUCCCAGGGAGGGGUUGCAAACUCUCACCCUCCUACCCUGCCAUCACCAAGCAAGCUCCGUGAGCUCAGGGCCCUGGUCCACCCCCAUCAAGCUGUCCCCACGCCCUUGGCACAGUGUCUCCCGCUGGGCACAAAGCAGGAGCCUGAGGAGCACGUGGGCGAGAGCCCCCUCGCGGUGGGGUGGUGGCGGUGAGUUGAGCACCACAGGCGGCACCACACCGCACAGGCUUGGACCCAGGAACAGCCUGGAGAACGAACGUGGAGGUCAUUCUAACUCAGUCUGUGACCACGGAUCUAUGGCUGUAAGACUUCCCAGAAGUGCAGAAAAAAUUUCACAACUGAAAAUUACUUCUCUGAAUGGAGAUCCAUGUGGAAGGAACACAGAUCUGGGAACAUAAUAAACAGGAAACGUGGGAGUUCUCUGUGCUCCCAGCCCUGAGGGCUCCACGUUACAAGGACAAACCAGUGCUAUCGCAGUGGGUGAUCUCAUUUCAAAACAAUAAAUAUGUAAAGCUAAGAGAACA
rnacentral:lncRNA from 1 species